rnacentral:rRNA from 1 species
GGCAGGGCGGGUGCUAUACAUGCAAGUCGAGCGAGCGGAACCAACAGAUUUACUUCGGUAAUGACGUUGGGAAAGCGAGCGGCGGAUGGGUGAGUAACACGUGGGGAACCUGCCCCUAAGUCUGGGAUACCAUUUGGAAACAGGUGCUAAUACCGGAUAAUAAAGCAGAUCGCAUGAUCAGCUUUUGAAAGGCGGCGUAAGCUGUCGCUAAGGGAUGGCCCCGCGGUGCAUUAGCUAGUUGGUAAGGUAACGGCUUACCAAGGCGACGAUGCAUAGCCGAGUUGAGAGACUGAUCGGCCACAUUGGGACUGAGACACGGCCCAAACUCCUACGGGAGGCAGCAGUAGGGAAUCUUCCACAAUGGACGCAAGUCUGAUGGAGCAACGCCGCGUGAGUGAAGAAGGUUUUCGGAUCGUAAAGCUCUGUUGUUGGUGAAGAAGGAUAGAGGUAGUAACUGGCCUUUAUUUGACGGUAAUCAACCAGAAAGUCACGGCUAACUACGUGCCAGCAGCCGCGGUAAUACGUAGGUGGCAAGCGUUGUCCGGAUUUAUUGGGCGUAAAGCGAGCGCAGGCGGAAAAAUAAGUCUAAUGUGAAAGCCCUCGGCUUAACCGAGGAACUGCAUCGGAAACUGUUUUUCUUGAGUGCAGAAGAGGAGAGUGGAACUCCAUGUGUAGCGGUGGAAUGCGUAGAUAUAUGGAAGAACACCAGUGGCGAAGGCGGCUCUCUGGUCUGCAACUGACGCUGAGGCUCGAAAGCAUGGGUAGCGAACAGGAUUAGAUACCCUGGUAGUCCAUGCCGUAAACGAUGAGUGCUAAGUGUUGGGAGGUUUCCGCCUCUCAGUGCUGCAGCUAACGCAUUAAGCACUCCGCCUGGGGAGUACGACCGCAAGGUUGAAACUCAAAGGAAUUGACGGGGGCCCGCACAAGCGGUGGAGCAUGUGGUUUAAUUCGACGCAACGCGAAGAACCUUACCAGGUCUUGACAUCUAGUGCAAUCUGUAGAGAUACGGAGUUCCCUUCGGGGACGCUAAGACAGGUGGUGCAUGGCUGUCGUCAGCUCGUGUCGUGAGAUGUUGGGUUAAGUCCCGCAACGAGCGCAACCCUUGUUAUUAGUUGCCAGCAUUAAGUUGGGCACUCUAAUGAGACUGCCGGUGACAAACCGGAGGAA